UACGGAGGGUGCGAGCGUUAAUCGGAAUUACUGGGCGUAAAGCGCGCGUAGGCGGCUUGUUAAGCCAGAUGUGAAAAGCCCCCGGGCGUCAACCUAGGGAACGUAGCAUUUGGUUACGUGGCAGGCGUAGAGUACAGUAGAGGGUGGUGGAAUUUACCUACGUGUAGCGGUGAAAUAGCGUAGAGAUUGGUAAGGAACAUCAGUGGCGAAGGCGGGCCACCUGGACUGAUACUGACGCUGAGGUGCGAAAG
rnacentral:rRNA from 1 species